rnacentral:rRNA from 1 species
CAGCAGCCGCGGUAAUACGGAGGGAGCUAGCGUUGUUCGGAAUUACUGGGCGUAAAGCGCACGUAGGCGGCUAUUCAAGUCAGGGGUGAAAGCCCGGGGCUCAACCCCGGAACUGCCUUUGAAACUAGAUAGCUUGAAUCUUGGAGAGGCGAGUGGAAUUCCGAGUGUAGAGGUGAAAUUCGUAGAUAUUCGGAAGAACACCAGUGGCGAAGGCGACUCGCUGGACAAGUAUUGACGCUGAGGUGCGAAAGCGUGGGGAGCAAACAGGAUUAGAUACCCCGGUAGUCCCUGUCUCUUAUAC